UGGAUUGGAUGGAUUUUCUCUAAAUGGAUCCAAUUGCCACUCCUAAUUGAAAAUAGAGUAAAGGUGACAAGAAAAAUAUAAAGUAAUAAAUGUCACACAAACAAAUAAGGUCUUUUCCCAUUAGGGAGUAAGUAACAGGGUCAAAUGUUGUCAUGACGACCAAGCAUUGUCUAAACACAAAUCAUGUAAGCCUAACAUUAAUAAUGGUUGGGGACUUUAGCCUACAAAUCUUCUUGGUCUAUCAUUACUUGUAACUGUUAGAAUACCCUCUAUCCUUACCCGGGGUUAUAUACAUACUCACACUCACAUCACACAUACACAAACCAUUUACAGUGAUUAUUAUACUACCAUCUUUGCCACAGUAGGAGCUAUCCUGAUUUUCUCUCUAAUGCAUUCGUUCUUAAUCCUAUGUAGUGUUGUAUGUGGAAUAAUCGGCCCUAUUAUUCUUAUCUCUAUGAUAUUGAACAGGUGAAGAAUGCUUACUGCCAUCUUAAUAUGCUCAAUUGUUUAUUCACUGAGAUUAAAAAAUCAUUGUAAAUAGCUUGAAAAUGAAAAUCAGCAAUAAAAAAGGGAAGCAAUGCCUUUGCCACAUCAAUUGACCGUAAAGAAAUCUGUUAGGCUGCAAAUUAAGAAGUAUGCAACCCAACACAAUUGCAAUUGCGCGCUGUGCAUGUGUGUUGGGAGGAAGAGUUUGCAAAAAAAGAUCAAACAAUAAAAGAGCACAGUACGGCUGGCAAAGCUAUGUGAAUAUAGGGAAUAUUAAAACCAUUAAAAUAGCCAGUAGUAAAGCACCAUGAAAAGAAGGGGAGAAAAAAAGAACACGAAAAAAAACGUAAGAAUCAAUAUUUGAAUGGACCAAGUUAGAAGCUAAGUAUUUCACAUGGUUAGGUGGGUACUUCUCAAUUGCAUAACUGUUUAACUCGCUAGGUGAACUGCAUAACCAUGAGGCAAGAUUAAAAUCCACAAGUUUGAAACAGAACAGCAAUACUAAUAACAUCCUCCCUUAUAUAUGAUUUACAGGCCUAAACAUAAAAAAGAACAGUAGAUCCAGACACGCACUAUUUAGUAAUUAAACACCAAGUACCAGAGCUAAAAACAUAUUAUAGAAACCAAAAGUGUGUAUGUGUGUGUCAAUAGGCUUAGCAAUCACAUACCUUCUCAAUGUUAUCCAUCAUUACACCCUUGACCUCAGUUAUUUGAGCCUUCAAUUUUGAUAGUUUACUCAUUUCUUCAGGAUGGGUCAAACAAUACUGCAUAUGCCCCUUAAGACUUGGCCUGUACAACAACAUCAAAAUCCUAUAAAACAAACAACUAAAAAGCGAACAAAAACUUACAAAGGGAUCAAGCAUAAACCAACCCAAAUUCUCUGUCAAGAUUAUAUGCAAUGCUAAACCUAUCUUCAAACAAAUCAUCGUCCUCGUCAUCAUCAGCAAGUGGAUGGUCACUUCCAUUCGUAAUACUAGAACCAUAACGCUGUUUAAAAUCAUCCUUCACCCGUUCCAGAAAUACAAAAGGAACACUCCUUCCAAUCGAUUCAUCAGCAACAACAAGGAAAACUGCACAUCAUACAUUAUCCCAUGUAAUGUAACAGUCAAAACAGCAAAUAAUACAUAAAAAAGAAGCAAAAAGAGUAAAAACUAACCAAAUCCAUUGUCUAAGAGGAAAUUAAAGGUGUGACCAUCACACGAAUACGUGUAUUUGGUGCUAUUUGAAGGAAGCUUAUUCAAACACUGAACAGCAAUGGUACUGAAAUUUCCUGUAUACUGAGUGUGCUCUGCUAAAACAACAGUUCCUUUGGCAACAAAGCUAUAUAUCAAACCCCUUUGACUCAUCUCCAAUUUCCACAACAACAACAAAAAAAAACUACACAGCCAGAAGAUACACCACAAUCACCACAACAACCUAAUCAAUCUGUAAAUAACAAAAUCAAUCAAAAAAAAUCCACCAAAAAAAGUCAAAUUACAACAAUCGAUAACCCUAAUUGAAGUCAGAAACUAAACCUAAAACGAUUCCAAAGGAGGUUUACGAAUCUAGGUGAAAUUGGAUUGUUAAAAUUCAAAUUGAGGAAAGAGAAGAAGAAAGAAGAACCUGAAGUGGAACGAGAUCGAGAAUCGGUGGUUUGAUUCGUUGCGAAAGAUGAAUUUGAUCGAAGAAGAAGAAGAAAAAGAUAGGAAGGUGAAGGUAUUAAUAACGACAGCGUUUUCAGUUUGAUCAGUUACGUGAAGCUACGUGGUAGAAGAGGUUUGUGUAAUUAUUGAUUAAUUAACACUUAAGUAACCAAUAAACCCAAACUGAUAAGUAUUGGUACUUCUUACUAUUAAAAGAUUUAGAUUAAAAUGUUCAAUUUUAUAUUUUUAUUUUGUAUUAUAGUAUCAUUUUAUUUGUAAAAAAAUAAUAAUAAUAAUAUAGUUAUAUUAUUUUAAUUAAAAGAGGUUACUUCUGAUAUUUUUUAUAAAUAGUACGAUUUUAUAUUUAAUUUUAGAUAUUUGAACUUGAGAUGAGAUUUUUUAUCAUCUAAAUUAAUGUCAACUUUAAAGGAAAUGGAUACAAAAGAUGACUCAUAAGACUCAUAAGAGUAAUAAAAAAUUUAGAAGUCUUUAGUAUGGGAAUUUUAUCAACUAAGAAAAUUUAUAAAUAAUCUAAAAAAAUUAUGAAGAAUAAAUAAAUUUAUAUUAUUUAUACAGAAGUUGAACUUGGUUAAAUAAUUUGCAUGGUAAGGAGAAUGUUUAUGGUAAAAAGAAUAACAUUUAUCUUUUUAAUAGAUUAUGAGUGUUUCAAAAAGGUGUGAAAUGGAAUUGAAGGGUGAGAAUUUCUUGUGUCUUAUCUAAUUACAUUUUAAUUCAUGUUCUUCAAUUUUGUGACAUUGUUAGACGAGCAAAAAGAUGACAGAUGAUAUAUAUGUUUCUCACCUCAAUCUUCUUUUACCACCCUUGAAUUCCUUAAAAAAAAUGGUCACACGAUUGAUCAUAUGACUCGAAACUUUAUUUGGAAGGUUACUUCCACCACUGAAAUUGCACGCCCAAAGAAGUUUGGUGGUUUAGAGUUCGAUCAACUAAAUAUCAAAAUGGUCCUCCUCGGUAAGUUGAUUUGGGAUAUGCUUCAAAAUACUUAUAAAUUUUGGGUGUGUCUCUUAUCUCAUAAGUAUUUGUCUGCGGCCUCUAUACUCCCCCUUUAUGCCAAUACGGGUACCUCCAUUUAAAAAUCAAUUAUUAUAUCAAAGAAUAUGUUAAAAGAUGGAUAUGACUUGAGGCAUAGGUCAAACUCAUCAUCCUUCUAGUAUAGCCAUUUGACUUCUUUUGGCCCCUUGGUUGAUUUUGUUGACUAUGUGCGUAUACAUGACCUUAAUUACCUCAACAUACACCACUUGUACACCCAAUUACCUCGGCAUAUCAUCGUUGAGCUCACUACCAAAAGUCUUUGCUUCAAUCCUAAUGUAUAAGAUGCUUUCAUUUGGUAUGAUCAUAUAAGUGUUACUUACAUAACUAAGAGUGACUAUUCUUAUAUCCUUCGCAACAAAGAAGAUUUACAUGACCCCAACACGAAAACUCAAUAUUGACAUUGGAUCUAAAAACUCUUCUUUUUUGCCUUGUUUGUCACUGCUUUGUUCCCACACACACUCUCUCUUCUUCAUUGGCGCAAUAUAGUCUAAUCAGCCAUGUGUUUUAGAUUUGGCCUAUAUGAUGAACAUUUCCUUCAUUGUGUUUGUGACUAUAAGAAUUUUAGAAAUCUUUAAUUGUACCUUGAGUUUAAUCUUCUAUAACUUUUCUUGACUUGAGAUAAAAAUAUUUGGAUAAAUAAUGAGAUUCAUAAUAUCGUCAUAAACUAUUUACCGCAAGACGUUGGUGGGCUUUAAGAUGUUGUAACUCCACUUCAUGGUGGACUCCUUUCGCGCAUGCUCUAGUAAAACUCAAACAUAGCAAACAAACAACUGAUUCAUCCAGUGAAAUUCUCGCCACUUCUGUUACAUAAUAUUAAUGUUGAUGGAAGUUGUAAUGACACACCAAUCCAUAAUUACUUUGAUGGUACCUUUCGCACCUCUUCUAGGAUUUAAAAUUAUAACUUCCUUAGUUUCAUAUCAAACUCUUUAAAUAUUCUCCAGACAGAAUUUUGAAUAAUUCAUAAAGGAUUCUCAUUAGUCAAAUGUGUGGGAAUUAUUGACUUGACAUGCUACAGAGACUCUUGUCUCAGUAUCAUCAAC
rnacentral:lncRNA from 1 species